rnacentral:rRNA from 1 species
UACGUAGGGACCGAGCGUUGUCCGGAAUCAUUGGGCGUAAAGAGCGUGUAGGCGGCCAACUAAGUCCUGCGUGAAAUCUCGGGGCUCAACCCCGAGCGGUCGUGGGAAACUGGUUGGCUAGAGUGCGGGAGAGGAGAGUGGAAUUCCUGGUGUAGCGGUGAAAUGCGCAGAUAUCAGGAAGAACACCCGUGGCGAAGGCGGCUCUCUGGAACGCAACUGACGCUGAGGAGCGAAAGCGUGGGGAGCGAACAGG